rnacentral:rRNA from 1 species
UCCAGACUCCUACGGGAGGCAGCAGUGGGGGAUAUUGCACAAUGGGGGGAACCCUGAUGCAGCGACGCCGCGUGGGUGAAGGAGCGUUUCGGCGCGUAAAGCCCUAUCGGCAGGGAAGAAGGAGGACGGUACCUGGCUAAGAAGCCCCGGCUAACUACGUGCCAGCAGCCGCGGUAAUACGUAGGGGGCAAGCGUUAUCCGGAUUUACUGGGUGUAAAGGGGGCGCAGACGGCAGCGCAAGCCAGGAGUGAAAGCCCGGGGCCCAACCCCGGGACUGCUCUUGGAACUGCGCGGCUGGAGUGCAGGAGGGGCAGGCGGAAUUCCUGGUGUAGCGGUGAAAUGCGUAGAUAUCAGGAGGAACACCGGUGGCGAAGGCGGCCUGCUGGACUGCGACUGACGUUGAGGCCCGAAAGCGUGGGGAGCAAACAGGAUUAGAUACCCCGGUACG